rnacentral:rRNA from 1 species
AUACGUAGGGUGCGAGCGUUAAUCGGAAUUACUGGGCGUAAAGCGUGCGCAGGCGGCGCUGUAAGACAGAUGUGAAAUCCCCGGGCUUAACCUGGGAACUGCAUUUGUGACUGCAGUGCUAGAGUGUGUCAGAGGGGGGUGGAAUUCCACGUGUAGCAGUGAAAUGCGUAGAGAUGUGGAGGAACACCGAUGGCGAAGGCAGCCCCCUGGGAUAACACUGACGCUCAGGCACGAAAGCGUGGGGAGCAAACAGGAUUGGAUACCCUGGUAGUCCACGCCCUAAACGAUGUCUACUAGUUGUCGGGGAUUUAUUUCCUUGGUAACGCAGCUAACGCGUGAAGUAGACCGCCUGGGGAGUACGGCCGCAAGGUUAAA